UUGUGUGUGAGAAACGGGGAAAGUGAUGGGAAAAAAAAUAUUUCUCUCUCUGUCUUUUUCUGUUUCUCCGACUCUCAGUUGUGUUGAAGAUGGGACAGCUCACUGUUGUCGCUGUUUUGGCAGUGCUCAUUACCCUUUUCAUGGAAACUGCAGCAAAUCCAUUUGUUUACAACUAUGAAGGCCUACGAAUUGGAGGGCUGGUCUUUACCGGUUUGCUGGUGGCUGGAGCACUCGGCUUCUUAUUUUAUAACACCUGCCACAGGAGGAACAAAAAAGGGGAAGACAGCAGUGAAAUCUGAUAUCGAGCCUGAGAAACCGGUUUCAGCCAGGAGGAAGAGCUGCCAGGUGGAGAAACUGGGUGUGUGUUGUUGGGGUUUGGAGGAAACACACCAGCUCAGAUGAUUAUAACCUUUUCAGACCCUUGUGAAGAAACACCACUUAUUUAAAGACAGAGUAAAUUAUUGCUUAAACUAUGAAAGAUGUGAAAGCACACUCACAGAUUGUCAUUUCAUGAGUAAUAUGAA